CUCGUACUCCCUCCUUCCGGAAAUACUUGUCCUAGAAAUGGUUGUAUCUAGACUUAUUUUAGUUAUAGAUUCAUCCAUUUUAUCCAUUUUUAGGACAAGUAUUUCCGGACGGAGGGAGUACUAA
rnacentral:pre_miRNA from 1 species